UUCAGGUUAAGAUAGCUACGUUUCACUGUUUAGGAUAAGGUUGGAUGAUUCAUCGGAUCUAAAACUCGAAAGAAACUCAACAUCUUUCUUGAAGCUCUUAACAGGGAAUCCUCUUUUCCCCGGGAAAAAUAUAGUCCAUCUAUUGGAUAUGAUGAAUGAUCUGUUGGGAACUCCAUUUGUGAAACUAUUGGAAGGGUGAGGAGCAAGAAAGCUGGAAGAUACUUGAGGAGCAUGAGGUUGAAGAAGUCUAUUCGUUUUUCACAUAGGCUUCCACAUGACGAUCCUCUCGAUCUUCGUAUUCUACAAAAGUUGUUGUCUUUUGAGCUCAAUGAACGGCCUACAGUUGAAGAGGGGUUAGUCCUGACACUUGUGGAGUACUUCAAGGGUGUAGCUAAGAAAGAUACUAUAUAUGAGCUCUCAAAGA